GAGUUUGAUCCUGGCUCAGGAUGAACGCUAGCGGGAGGCUUAAUACAUGCAAGUCGAGGGGCAGCAGUUCGGCUGGCGACCGGCGCACGGGUGAGUAACGCGUACGCAAUCUACCUUUAAGAGAGGGAUAGCCCCGGGAAACUGGGAUUAAUACCUCAUAGUAUCAUUGGAUCGCAUGGUUUGAUGAUUAAAGCUUCGGCGCUUAAAGAUGAGCGUGCGUGUUAUUAGCUAGUUGGUGAGGUAACGGCUCACCAAGGCUACGAUAGCUAGGGGGCGUGAGAGCGUGAUCCCCCACACGGGUACUGAGACACGGACCCGACUCCUACGGGAGGCAGCAGUAAGGAAUAUUGGACAAUGGGCGCAAGCCUGAUCCAGCCAUCCCGCGUGCAGGAUGACGGCCCUAUGGGUUGUAAUCUGCUUUUAUCUGGGAAGAAACGAAUCCAUUUAUGGGUUUCUGACGGUACCAUAUGAAUAAGCACCGGCUAACUCCGUGCCAGCAGCCGCG
rnacentral:rRNA from 1 species